GACGUAGGAUGCGAGCGUUGUUCGGAAUUACUGGGCGUAAAGGGCUCGUAGGCGGCCAACUAAGUCGGAUGUGAAAUCCCCCAGCUUAACCUGGGAACUGCAUCCGAUACUGGAUGGCUUGAAUCCGGGAGAGGGAUGCAGAAUUCCAGGUGUAGCGGUGAAAUGCGUAGAUAUCUGGAGGAAUACCGGUGGCGAAGGCGGCAUCCUGGACCGGCAUUGACGCUGAUGAGCGAAAGCUAGGGGAGCAAACGGGGAU
rnacentral:rRNA from 1 species